rnacentral:lncRNA from 13 species
AUGGCCUCAAGCAAUCUUCCCACCUUGGCUUUGCAAACCUCUGGGAUUACAGCUGGCUCCAACGCAUCACAGUUGCUGCUGAAGCAUCACAAGAUCUGUCCCCAGCUGUCUUCUCCAGCCUCACCUUCGACCACUUGCUCUCUCAUAUCUGCUGCUCCAGACAUUCUGAAGUACCACAAAGAAUCUAAGCUUUUCCUUAGAUAAUAAUAAGAGCUUUUAUAUACACUGCUUCUUUUGACUGGAAUAUGUUGACUAACUCCUAUUUGUCCUACAGAUCUCCAUUUCCACGUUUUUCACUCUAAGAAGUCUUCUUUGGCACCAUCAGUUGGUGUGGUGACUGUAUUACUAUUGCUCAAUUCUAGUUUUUGUGCUGAUUCCUGGAGGUAAUCUCUAAGUUCUUGGAAAGUCCUGCCUGAUAGAGCAUCUUUAUUUACUUGAGCCACACCUGACAGUGUAAGUUAACAGUGUGAUUUACAAUGAGUGGUUUGGACCACCAUAGGGCGUAUAGGCUUCACCUCCAUAGAGGAUGAAAACUAAGGUCAGGAACAUGAAUGGUCAACCCUAUCUAUGUAACUGAGCCCCAGUAAAAACUCUGCACAUCAGGACACAGGCGAACUUUUCUAACGACACUAAUACUCCAUAUGUAUGGUCACACAUUGCUACAGAGAGAAGUUUGCAAUGCCUGUGAUUCCACUGCAGGGGACAAUGGAAGCUGGCAUUCGGAAUUCUCCUGCACCUUGCCCCAUGCACUCCUUCUCUUGGCUGAUUUUCUUUAUUUUCUUUUCAUUUUUGCUAUGAUAAGCCAUAAUUAUAAGCCAUAAACUCACAUAAAACAGCUUUCUGUGAGUUUUUUACUUGUAGCAGGUUAUUAAUCCUGAGGUGAUAUUGGAGUCCCCCAAACUUGCAAUUGGUAUCAGAAAGGAGGGUAGUUUUGGACUUUGGGAACUCCUAAACAUGUUAAGGGCUUUCACUCGCUAUGGUGCGUGUACCACCCUAUGAACCAUUUUCCUGUUUACCUGUCUGAGAAUGGGGACUGUGCCUCGUUCACUAUUGCAUCCUUAGAACCUAAACUAUGGCAAAAUGUAGUCACUCAAACCUUGGCGGAAUGACUUUAAUAGACAAUGUUGUCAUAUUGAUGUAAUAAUCACGUUUGUUCCUUAAAAUUAUUUUUAUCUUUAUGUGAACAAUUAAAUUGAAGAAAAUAAUGACCGAUGACCAGUCAAUAAAACCACUUUCACAAGCA